rnacentral:rRNA from 1 species
UGUAAGCGUAUACCAAAGUUGUUGCAGUUAAAACGCUCGUAGUCGGAAUUUGGCAGUUCCGGAUGUGUGCACGUCGUGUGCGCACUUCGCGGGGAUUGCUUUUGUGGUCUUGCGUAGGAUGAGGCACUUUUAUUAGUGAACGUCCUCACGCAACCACUUUUUACUGUGGGAAAAUCAGAGUGCUCAAAGCAGGCAUUUGCCGUGAAUGUAUUAGCAUGGAAUAAUAGAAUAGGACUUGGUUCUAUUUUGUUGGUUUGUUGGGACUGAGUAAUGAUUAAGAGGGACAGUUGGGGGCAUUUGUAUUUCGGUGCUAGAGGUGAAAUUCUUAGAUUACCGAAAGACAAACUGCUGCGAAAGCGUCUGCCAAGGAUGUUUUCAUUGA